GCCCCGCCCAGGAAGCUCCGCCACUGGCAGCUGGGUACCGAUUCAUCACCGACGUGUUUAAAGUAUCCGUGUGUGUGCCUCCAAAAACCGUUUGUGGAGACAGCAGAGUGCCCGAGGCAGGAAACCGCUCCGGCCUGGAGGCGCCCCUGCCCGGACUCGUGGACUGCAGCGCUGUCCCGCUCGGAAGCCGAUCCUGGGAGUCCGAGCGGGGCCGCGGGGCCUGCGUGGCAGCCGAGUCGAGGGCUUCGGGCCGCGGGGCUGUGGAGCGCCCCUUGGCGCUGGGCCGCCGGCAGCCGUGAGCGCAUCACUGCAUUUCCCUGGAGGAAUUCCUCAUCUGUUGAAUGAGGGAGUUGAGGCGGACACGCUGGGAAAUGGCUUCGAGCUCACACACUGAUUUUGCCCUACAAACGCUGGGUUUCCUUUCUCAUUCGUGGACUUUUUUCCCUGGAUCCUUCUUACUGCUCCUACCCUGUGGCCGCACGUCUGGCAGAUGCGCGGCGGGCGCUGCCUGAACCCCCGAAUCCUCACAAGCCUCUGUGCAGCGGCCACGGCCCUCAGCUAGCGGCGGGGAGACUGAAGCCGCAGGGUCAGGGUUAGUUGCCACAUGUUUUAAAUUCCUAUCCAAACUUCCAUUAUAAUUGUUUUUAUUUAUUUAUUCAUCUAUUUUUUGAGACAGGGUCCCGCUCUGUCGCCCAGGCUGGAGUGCAGUGGAGCGAUCACGGUUCACUGCAGCCUCCCCACCUCCGACUCCAGCGAUCCUCUCGCCUCAGCCUCCCGAGUAGCUGGGACCACAGGUGCAUGCCACCAUGCCCGGCUAAUUGUUAAUAUUUUUUUUGGUAGAGAUGGGGCCUCCCUCUGUUGCCUAGGCUGGCCUUGAACUCCUGGGCUCAAGCGAUCUUCCAGCUUCGGCCUCCCAAAGUGCUGGCAUUACAGGCGUGAGUCACCCCGCCUGGCAAGAAUUGUUGUUUUGAAACUAACUGAGGUUCUCCCAUCAAUGGAUUUAAAUUGUUACUUUUUAAUGAUUUUUUUUUAAGUAGCCAAAUACUAAAUGUAUGUAAUUUGAAUGUGGAGAGAAGAUAAUGCAUGAUUCAAAUUAUGUGGCUGAUCAUGGGUGAUACACUGGGAUAUAGUUGUAAAAUAAGUAGUUCUCCUAGGGAAAAUAUUAAAGUACAACUGUGUUGGGUUUAAUAUCAGAAAAAUGUAAUUAAAAACAUUUCCUGCCAAUAAUUUCCAAUCUGAUACUUAAACAAAACAAAACAAUAAAAGUUUCCCAUCUCUUUCGGGCCUUUUAAAUUUCUACCAAAAGUAAGUGAUGCUGGCUGAUUCCCCUGCUAUAGCAAGUUGUGAAUAAAUAGCCUUUGCUGGUUUCCACAGUUUUCCUGGUGAUCCCAUG
rnacentral:lncRNA from 1 species